GUGGGAGGAAGCACAUCUGUAACGCAUUUAUGUGAUGUUCACCUUUGAGACCGUGCGGCUGGAUGGAGGCGUUUUAAUUUCUACAUCUAAAUUUUGGAUCCAUAUGGAGUUUGUCCUGGUGUCCUGGUCUCCAGCUUUAUUGGUCUCCAGCUUGUUUCCCAGUCGUGCCGACACCAUUUAUUAAAACGUUCAUCUUUACCUGCCUGAUAUAAGAGGCCACCUCUAUCAACACUAAAUUCCAGUGUAUUUUGGGGCCCUGUCAGCCUCAUGGGCAACCAGUCAUGAAGGACUGCUGUGUUGGCUGCUACUGAGACAGAAAGGAUGCAGGUGAGGGGAUCUCACCUCGUUGGAGAACCUUCCUUCAUCUUUCAGAGGAGGAAGCUGAGGUUGGAGUGACCUCUAAACGUGGGUUCUCAGAUGAAGGGAACAUCAGACCUCAGUGGAAACCAAAGACAUUAGAGCUGGAAGGUCCAGGGAAGGUCCAAGAAAAAGGGC